CACCCGCGCUUGGCAAACAUCCCCAGCCCUCACUCCCGAACCUGGACAAUUAAGCAGUCGCGGGCCACAUCCAGUACGGCUUGGGCGACUUCCCGGGAACGUUGCGGUGCUUGCUU